UCUGUCACCCAGGCUGGAGUGCAGUGCAUGAUCUCGGCUGAUUGCAACCUGAGUCUCCCAGGUUCAAGCAAUUCUCCUGCCUCAGCCUCCCGAGUAGCUGGGACUGCAGGCAUGUGCCACCAUGUCCAGCUAAUUUUGUAUUUUUAGUACAGAUGGGGUUUCUUCACGUUGGUCAGGCUGGUCUUGAACUUGUGACCUCAGGUGCCCACCUCGGCCUCCCAAAGUGCUAGGAUUACAGGCGUGAGCCACCACGCCUGGCUGUACGGAAGACUUUUAUUCAGAACCUAUGCAAGCCAGAAGCCAAUGGGGUAACAUCCUUAAAGUAC